AUUGAACGCUGGCGGCAUGCUUUACACAUGCAAGUCGAACGGCAGCAUGGGUGCUUGCACCUGAUGGCGAGUGGCGAACGGGUAAGUAAUGUAUCGGAACAUAUCCGCAAGUGGGGGAUAACGUAGCGAAAGUUACGCUAAUACCGCAUAUUCCCUGAGGGGGAAAGGAGGGGAUCCGCAAGGACCUUUCGCUUACGGAGUGGCCGAUAUCAGAUUAGCUAAUUGGUGGGGUAAAGGCCUACCAAGGCGACGAUCUGUAGCGGGUCUGAGAGGAUGAUCCGCCACACUGGGACUGAGACACGGCCCAGACUCCUACGGGAGGCAGCAGUGGGGAAUUUUGGACAAUGGGGGCAACCCUGAUCCAGCCAUGCCGCGUGAGUGAAGAAGGCCUUCGGGUUGUAAAGCUCUUGCAGCUGGAAAAAAAUCGCAUCACCUAAUACGUGGUGUGGAUGAUGGUACCAGCAGAAGAAGCACCGGCUAACUACGUGCCAGCAGCCGCCGUAACAC
rnacentral:rRNA from 1 species